AGAGUUGUAUCCUGGCUCAGGAUGAACGCUGGCGGUAUGCUUUACACAUGCAAGUCGUACGAAAGUUUUUAACUUUAGUGGCGGACGGGUGAGUAACACGUAAGAAUUUACCUUUAGGAGGGGGACAACAACUGGAAACGGUUGCUAAUACCCCAUAUGGCUUUCGAGUGAAAUGGAAUUUUCCGCCUAAAGAGAAGCUUGCGGCUGAUUAGCUUGUUGGUGGGGUAAUGGCCUACCAAGGCGACGAUCAGUAUCUGGUUUGAGAGGACGAUCAGACACACUGGAACUGAGACACGGUCCAGACUCCUACGGGAGGCAGCAGUGGGGAAUUUUCCGCAAUGGGCGAAAGCCUGACGGAGCAAUACCGCGUGAGGGAUGACGGCCUAUGGGUUGUAAACCUCUUUUUUCAGGGAGGAAUAAGUGACGUGUACCUGAAGAAUAAGCAUCGGCUAACUCCGUGCCAGCAGCCGCGGUAAGACGGAGGAUGCAAGUGUUAUCCGGAAUCACUGGGCGUAAAGCGUCUGUAGGUGGUUUAAUAAGUCAACUGUUAAAUCUUGAGGCUCAACUUCAAAAUCGCAGUCGAAACUAUUAGACUAGAGUAUAGUAGGGGUAAAGGGAAUUUCCAGUGGAGCGGUGAAAUGCGUAGAGAUUGGAAAGAACACCGAUGGCGAAGGCACUUUACUGGGCUAUUACUGACACUCAGAGACGAAAGCUAGGGUAGCAAAUGGGAUUAGAUACCCCAGUAGUCCUAGCCGUAAACAAUGGAUACUAGAUGUUGAACAGAUCGACCUGUGCAG
rnacentral:rRNA from 1 species